rnacentral:rRNA from 1 species
GAUGAACGCUAGCGGCAGGCCUAAUACAUGCAAGUCGAGGGGCAGCGCGGUAGCAAUACUGGCGGCGACCGGCGCACGGGUGCGUAACACGUAUGCAACCUACCUUCAACUGGAGGAUAGCCCGGGGAAACUCGGAUUAAUACUCCAUAACACAGGGAUCCCGCAUGGGAAUAUUGUUAAAGCUACGGCGGUUGAAGAUGGGCAUGCGUUCGAUUAGCUAGUUGGUGUAGGUAACGGCUCACCAAGGCUACGAUCGAUAGGGGGUCUGAGAGGAUGAUCCCCCACACUGGUACUGAGAUACCGGACCAGACUCCUACGGGAGCAGCAGUAGGGAAUAUUGGUC